rnacentral:sRNA from 1 species
UUUCAAAUAUUAUAACAUUUUAAACCCGUCAUACCAUCUAAUCUCGUUAUGUGAUAUUAA